rnacentral:lncRNA from 1 species
UUAAAAUCUACAUAGUAUUUUGUUCGGUACUGUAUUGUAAUAUUGCUUAGUAAUAUUUUAUUAAAAGUGAAGUUAUCCAUUAGUAAUUGUGUAUCGAUAGCCAAACCUUCUUUAUAGAAAUAAUAAAAUGGCUAAUAUAUUAUAUAAACGACAAAGAAUCAGCAAGAAAUUGUAAUCCUGUUCUUUUGAAAACGGAGCAUAUGUAUGGAGAAUAACGUAUUACUUUGUGUGUUUAUCAAAAAGAAUAAAUUAUGAAAUAGCCAUGACGUAUCAAGGGAGAAGAGGAUAAUCGACAGCUGCCAACAAAAGAUAUUGGGUAUUUUUUCGUGUUAGUGAUGUAACGCCGUAAUUCAUUCUCGGAUCCUGUUCAUUCUUUCGAAUUCUCCCUUCUGGGAAAUCCAGUGUUCCAAGUCAGAGAGUGGCAGACGGGAGUUACUAAUAAGUGAUGACUCAUAUUGAUUGCUCAUUACUCAUUAGUGUUGCAGUUUUCAUAUCUUGAUUUUAAAGCUUAGAGUUAUGAAGUUUAAUAAUACAUUGUACCUGCUUGAAUGUAUGUAGUUUCUUUUAGUUUAUAUGAUCAAAUCUGAGAGGAGAGCAGUUAUUUAUAUAAUUAUAAUCAAGAACAGAACAUGAAAACCCCAAAAAAACCAAUUUCUUAUUCAAAUCCUUAUCAUUUAUGUUUCAACUUUCAAGAUAUUAUUAAAAAUUGCGAAUUCAUAUUCUAGAAUAAGAAUUACGUUAAUGUUUCCAAUCUUGCCUACUAUUAAUAAUAUAUUACAACUGAGUAAGUACAUAUCUUUUGUUCACGAUUUAAUUUAUAUUUAUUCAUAUUCCUGGUUCCAAUAAUAAAAUUUUGUUUUUUUAUGAUAUGCGCGUCAAUGGCCCCUCGAAAACAGAUUGGUCAGAAAUCAAAGGGUGAACUCCAGUGUAUUUCAUUGUCUUUAUUUUAAUUUUAAAACGUUUGUAUUUACUAUGUCCAGGGGCGAUUUCAUUUUUUGUUACGUUUUUGUUUUGUUUUUGGGGCUGAUAACACAGGGGAAUACAAAUUUUUACCAAUAAAAUUAUGCCAAGAAUAUAAUUGAUCUUUGAGCACAAAAUCCAAAUCUAAUCUCUUAGUUUUUCUCUGGGUAGUCAGGUUUCAGAAAGAUUUGAGAUUAUAGUAAUUCUAGAUUAUUAUCGUUCAGAGACAUUUUUCAUCUUCAAGACAAUCACCAAAUUGAAGUAAGAUGAAUAAACUGAUGUAUAAAGGUCUUUUCGGAUUAUAAAAGUUUUUUUAUUGAUUCUGUAUCCUCUUCUGAACUAAUUUUUAGGCUGAAAAAUGAUGAAAAACGACACUGUUCUUGAGAACAUUAUAACAUAUUCAUCAUUCAUAGUGAUAAGGAGUAACAUAGCUCAUAUCAUAGAAAAAUAUUCCAUGUUUUAUUCAAAAAAAUAACUAUUUAAAAAAUAAGGAUCUCCAAGGACUUAAGUUCGAUUUGGUAUUUUUUGAGUGAUUCCAAUUUUUGGGCAAAUCGACAAAAUUAUUUUAAUAUUGUAUAUGAUUUCAAUGUCCUCAUAAUGACGUCAAAGCCUGUAAUAAUUAAUAAUAAUGUAUAUUUUGAAUAUUUAAAAUGAUCUACUCAUGAAUGGAUCUCUUCUUUGUUUAUAUCCUGGAAUUCCCUUUCCCAAUGAACGAGUCCACUCUACUUUUUUAUGAAGCCUUAUAGUUUUUCUCGGAUGGAUUUUCGUCCCGUCGUCCCUUGUAGAAUACUGAGUUCUGAAUAAGAAUAAUUUCAUCUCUUGAGAUGGAUGAUCAAGUUAGAAGUAUCUUCCUUUGGUCCUAAUUCUUGGAGAACAAAAAAGUCUACUUUUUCAGAGCAUUUUAUCUGAAACUGAACGUAAAUGGAUCCUGCCAUAGUUUCAAAAGUUGAAUAUAUUCAUUGUUCUAUAGUGAUGAAUAGAUUCCCACCAAAGGAAAGAGUCGACUCUACUCUAGUAUGAAGCUUAGUUGUGUUCGGUUUUCUUCUUCGGCUAAAUUUUCAUCCUGUUAUACUCUCUUAGAUAUUGGAAUUCGAGCAUUUCUUGUUUAGGAUAAAGUAUCUCGGGUCUCAUCUUUUGUCCUAAUUCAUAAAGAAAUUUUCGUCUUUAAUUAAUGAAGAUCAAUCGAAGCAAA